AUUGAACGCUGGCGGCAUGCCUUACACAUGCAAGUCGAACGGCAGCGGGGGAGAAGCUUGCUUUUCCUGCCGGCGAGUGGCGAACGGGUGAGUAAUACAUCGGAACGUGCCCUGUAGUGGGGGAUAACUAGUCGAAAGAUUAGCUAAUACCGCAUACGACCUGAGGGUGAAAGUGGGGGACCGCAAGGCCUCAUGCUAUAGGAGCGGCCGAUGUCUGAUUAGCUAGUUGGUGGGGUAAAGGCCUACCAAGGCGACGAUCAGUAGCUGGUCUGAGAGGACGAUCAGCCAGACUGGGACUGAGACACGGCCGAGACUCCUACGGGAGGCAGCAGUGGGGAGUUUUGGACAAUGGGCGAAAGCCUGAUCCAGCAAUGCCGCGUGUGUGAAGAAGGCCUUCGUGUUGUAAAGCACUUUUGUCCGGAAAGAAAUGGCUCUGGUUAAUACCUGGGGUCGAUGACGGUACCGGAAGAAUAAGGACCGGCUAACUACGUGCCAGCAGCCGCGGUAA
rnacentral:rRNA from 1 species